GAUUCUCGCUUCGGGUGCG
rnacentral:misc_RNA from 1 species